UGAUGUGAGGGUGAUCUGUCUGUGAUAUCUGUCACCCCACUGACUGCCAGGGUUGAUUCAGCUGAUGUGGCUGUUUAGGCAGGUAUUCCCUUCCUCCCUCAAUACUCCAUGUGCGUCCCUCCUGAAGCUGCGCUCUCAGUCAAACAGGACGACCUGCCUGAUAGAGAUGGUCCCAUUCUAUGAUCUCAGGAU
rnacentral:snRNA from 1 species